GGUUAGUUUGUUUUGAAAAAUGUCACACAAAUACAUUUGUUUGUAAAUGUUAGAAAUGAUUUGAUUGAAGAGAAUUUUCCACAUUCACCUUUUUUUUUUUAGUUACAAACACAGUUUAGGAGUCCAGUGCAGAUGUAGGAGUCCCAGGGAAUGAAUUUAAUGUCAGUUGUUAGGUUAAUACAAGUCACUACAGGAGUGGAUCGUUUAUUAUCCUGAAACAAAUUAAUGUGAAAAUCCUCCACGCAUACUAAAAACUCCACCAUCUGAAAAUACUCAUUUUACUCUGACAGAGGAGCGAAACCACAAAAUGUCGUUGGGAUCAGAGCACUUGAACUUUUUUUUCCCCUUUAAAAAAAAAAAAAAAAAAAAAAGCAAUAGCUGUCAUUUAAAAAAUCAAACCAAAAUGUCGAAUUCUUUAUCACUGUUUCCAUAUUGUUUCCCUUCAUUUGACUGGUGUCGUCAGUGAAAUCAUCUCUUCGGGUGUAACUGUGUCAUGUUUAGUGUUAAAACUAAUGACUGGUCUGUUUUCAGGCUGGAGUACAGAAUUUAUUUACAUUUUGUAGACACUGCAGAACUAUACAGAUUAUAUGUAGGAUGAACUCUGACAGCUUGAACCAGAUCUACUGUCUCCAUCAUUCCUUAUUUUCCAAUGAUGACCAUCUUACUGGACACUGUCCUUAACAUACACCCUGUGAUAACCACCUUACUGGACAUCAUCCUUAACAUACCCCUGUGAUGACCACCUUACUGGACAUCAUCCUUA